rnacentral:rRNA from 1 species
UACGAAGGGGGCUAGCGUUGCUCGGAAUCACUGGGCGUAAAGGGUGCGUGAGGCGGUUCUUUAAGGUCAGGGUGAAAUCCUGGAGCUCAACUCCAGUAACUGCCUUUGAUACUGAAGAUCUUUGGAGUUCGGGAGAGGUGAAGUGGAACUGCGAGUGUAGAAGGUGAAAUUCGUAGAUAUUCGCAAGAACACCAGUGGCGAAGGCGGCUCACUGGCCCGAUACUGACGCUGAGGCACGAAAGCGUGGGAGCGAACAGG